rnacentral:rRNA from 1 species
UGGGGAAUCUUCCGCAAUGGACGAAAGUCUGACGGAGCAACGCCGCGUGAGUGAUGAAGGUCUUCGGAUCGUAAAGCUCUGUUAUUCGGGACGAACGUGCAGAUCGUGAAUAAUGAUUUGUAGUGACGGUACCGAAGGAGGAAGCCACGGCUAACUACGUGCCAGCAGCCGCGGUAAUACGUAGGUGGCGAGCGUUAUCCGGAUUUACUGGGCGUAAAGGGAGCGUAGGCGGAUGAUUAAGUGGGAUGUGAAAUACCCGGGCUCAACUUGGGUGCUGCAUUCCAAACUGGUUAUCUAGAGUGCAGGAGAGGAGAGUGGAAUUCCUAGUGUAGCGGUGAAAUGCGUAGAGAUUAGGAAGAACACCAGUGGCGAAGGCGACUCUCUGGACUGUAACUGACGCUGAGGCUCGAAAGCGUGGGGAGCAAACA